rnacentral:rRNA from 1 species
CCUACGGGUGGCAGCAGUGGGGAAUAUUGGACAAUGGGCGGAACCCUGAUCCAGCGACGCCGCGUGAGUGAAGAAGUAUUUCGGUAUGUAAAGCUCUAUCAGCAGGGAAGAAAAUGACGGUACCUGACGAAGAAGCCCCGGCUAACUACGUGCCAGCAGCCGCGGUAAUACGUAGGGGGCAAGCGUUAUCCGGAUUUACUGGGUGUAAAGGGAGCGUAGACGGGGCAGCAAGUCUGAUGUGAAAGGUCGGGGCCCAACCCCGGGACUGCAGUGGAAACUGUUGAACUGGAGUGCAGGAGAGGUAAGCGGAAUUCCUGGUGUAGCGGUGAAAUGCGUAGAUAUUAGGAGGAACACCGGUGGCGAAGGCGGCUUACUGGACUGUAACUGACGUUGAGGCUCGAAAGCGUGGGGAGCAAACAGGAUUAGAUACCCUUGUAGUC